rnacentral:rRNA from 1 species
UGAGGAAUAUUGGUCAAUGGGCGAGAGCCUGAACCAGCCAAGUCGCGUGAAGGAAGACAGUCCUAAGUAUUGUAAACUUCUUUUAUACGGGAAUAACGGGCGAUACGAGUAUUUCAUUGAAUGUACCGUAAGAAUAAGCAUCGGCUAACUCCGUGCCAGCAGCCGCGGUAAUACGUAGGAUGCGAGCGUUAUCCGGAUUUAUUGGGUUUAAAGGGUGCGUAGGUUGUUCGGUAAGUCAGCGGUGAAACCUGAGCGCUCAACGUUCAGCCUGCCGUUGAAACUGCCGGGCUUUAGUUCAGUGUCGGCAGGCGGAAUUCGUGGUGUAGCGGUGAAAUGCAUAGAUAUCACGAGGAACUCCGAUUGCGAAGGCAGCUUGCCAUACUGCGACUGACACUGAAGCACGAAGGCGUGGGUAUCAAACAGG